UUGUGUUAAUGCUGUUCAUGACUGGAGUUGUGAGAACAGCACUCACUCCAGCUUGGUAGCAUUCACACAUUCAGAAGCCAGCCA
ensembl:miRNA eel-mir-11055 eel-mir-11055